UGGAAAUAUGAGGUCAGAACAGGAA
rnacentral:piRNA from 1 species